rnacentral:rRNA from 1 species
GUGCCAGCAGCCGCGGUAAUACGUAGGGUGCAAGCGUUAAUCGGAAUUACUGGGCGUUUAGCGUGCGCAGGCGGUUAUGCAAGACAGAUGUGAAAUCCCCGGGCUCAACCUGGGAACUGCAUUUGUGACUGCAUGGCUAGAGUACGGUAGAGGGGGAUGGAAUUCCGCGUGUACCAGUGAAAAUGCGUAGAUAUGCGGAGGAACACCGAUGGCGAAGGCAAUCCCCUGGACCUGUACUGACGCUCAUGCACGAAAGCGUGGGGGGCAAACAGGGAUUAGAUACCCUGGUAGUCC